rnacentral:misc_RNA from 1 species
UCCGGUUUGACACCGGCAGUCUCGCUAGAGUCCUCGCCAUGACGCGUUAGCAACUAGAGAUAGGGGUUUCGCUCGUUAAGGGACUUAACCCGACACUUCACAGCACGAGCUGACGACAGCCAUGCAGCACCUGUGUAUGUUGUACCCGAAGGCCUCAGCCGUGUUUCCACGACCUAAUCCAUACAUGUCAAGCCCAGGAUAAGGUUCUUCGCGUUGCUUCGAAUUGAGCCACAUGCUCCACCGCUUGUGUGAGCCCCCGUCAAUUCCUUUGAGUUUUAGCCUUGCGACCGUACUCCCCAGGCGGUGCACUUAGCAUUUUAACUUCGACCAUGGGGGCGUCAGAGCCUCCACGAUCUAGUGCACAUCGUUUAGGGCGUGGACUAC